AGAGUUUGAUCAUGGCUCAGGAUGAACGCUAGCGGGAGGCCUAACACAUGCAAGUCGAGGGGUAACAUUUCCUUCGGGAAGAUGACGACCGGCGGACGGGUGAGUAACGCGUAUGCAACCUGCCUUUAACAGGGGGAUAGCCCAGGGAAACUUGGAUUAAUACCCCAUAUAAUUAGAGAUUCGCAUGGAUUUUUAAUAAAAGCGAUAGUGGUUAAAGAUGGGCAUGCGUGACAUUAGUUAGUUGGUGGGGUAACGGCUCACCAAGGCGACGAUGUCUAGGGGUUCUGAGAGGAAGACCCCCCACACUGGUACUGAGACACGGACCAGACUCCUACGGGAGGCAGCAGUGAGGAAUAUUGGUCAAUGGGCGGAAGCCUGAACCAGCCAUCCCGCGUGAAGGAAGACAGCCCUACGGGUUUUAAACUUCUUUUCUGACAGAAGAAUAUGCGAUACGUGUAUUGUAUUGACGGUAUGUCAGGAAUAAGGAUCGGCUAACUCCGUGCCAGCAGCCGCGGUAAUACGGAGGAUCCAAGCGUUAUCCGGAUUUAUUGGGUUUAAAGGGUGCGUAGGCGGAGAUGUAAGUCAGUGGUGAAAUGGUGCCGCUUAACGGUAGCACAGCCAAUGAUACUGUAUUUCUUGAGUUUAGUUGAGGUAUGCGGAAUGAGUAGUAGCGGUGAAAUGCUUAGAUAUUACUCAGAACACCGAUUGCGAAGGCAGCAUACUAAGCUAUGACUGACGCUGAUGCACGAAAGCGUGGGGAUCGAACAGGAUUAGAUACCCUAGUAGUCC
rnacentral:rRNA from 1 species